rnacentral:lncRNA from 1 species
GAAAUGUUUGUAUAAACCUUCAUGAAAAGCCAGCAUCCUAUGUGAAAUUCUAUCUCUCUUGAAAUUAAAACUGAGGAGUAAGUUUUUGACAUAGAUGAUCUGGUUCAGAGUAUGAUGCUAUUUUUGAUGAAAUCUUGGAACAUAACAGAGCAUAACAAAAAAAUGGACUUGAUUCUCUUGAUGGUACACGCAGAGUUUAAAAAUCUCAGAGCUGCUCCUGUAUCUGCACAGACAGAAACUGGAGAUGUUAAUUUUUUGUCAUUUGGCUUUUAGAUGUCCUUGGCGUGUGCACCCCUGUGGAAUCCAGUACAUCUCUAAUCUGUCAGGAAGCAUCAGAGGUGGUUUUGACUCCUUAUGUCCUGAGCCUGUGCACAAAAUGUGUAAACUGGAUAGAACAUCAGACAGCUCAUUAUAGAGACAAGUACGCUCCAUUCCCAAAGUUGGAUGACAGAACAAGUCAGGACCUUGUGUGGAGGAAAAUGAGAUCCCGAGUGAAGUCUACAAUGUCAUUGACUCUGAAGAAGGACUCAGAGACCCAUUGGUGUUUAAUGACCCUUACUGGCCUAUGCAAUGGGAAACUGCUGUGGAAUCUAGAACAAAUGUUGGCCCCUGUCUCAAUAAAGGUGACUCAAAACCAAAAUCCCACCAAAAUAGGUAAAUAUAACCUCCCUAUCUGUACCUCCUUAACUCCUCGAAACUGCAUAAAAUAACCACCCUAUCUCUAUACCUCCUCAACUCCUCGAAACAACUGUUUUGCAGCAACUACAAUCAUAUUACCUGUAAUACACAUGGGGAUAAUAAGGAAAGAAACACCUUAAUCACCUGCUUUUUUCAUGGCUAAUCAUGGGCUGAUAUGAUUCUGGGAUUGUAUGAACCCAACUGUAACCUAAGUGCCAUAGUAGAGCCUUAGCUAGAUUCAGACCUGAGAGCAGUGAAGCUGCUGAGUAAAGUCAGCCAUGGGGUAUCAGCUCAUGAAACAGAUGUGACCCUCUGUCUAACUUUGCUAUAUGUCUCAGUCUUCCUUUUUUUGGCAUACACUAACUACUGUACCAUAGUCUAAGCUGUCAUGUCAACCACUUGUAGAGAAGUACUCAGAGGGAAUGGUUGCUCUCUCUGCUUCUGACCUCUUAUGUGGGGGGUCUUUGUCUUGCUUUUGUGCCACCAAUAGUUCCACAUUCUAUCUGAGAGUCCUUUGUUGCAGCCCUGUUUCUGGAACCAGUUUCUAUGUGUGUUUGUCUUUUAGGCCCUUAGAAAAAGGAUCCCAUCAGUGCCAUUUACCAACUGUGUGACAUUUGGCAAGUUACCUAACUAUAUAGUUUUCC